AACGAACGCUGGCGGCAGGCUUAACACAUGCAAGUCGAGCGCCUCGCAAGAGGAGCGGCAGACGGGUGAGUAACGCGUGGGAACGUACCCUUAUCUUCGGAAUAGCUCUGGGAAACUGGAAGUAAUACCGAAUGUGCCCUUAGGGGGAAAGAUUUAUCGGAUAAGGAUCGGCCCGCGUUGGAUUAGCUAGUUGGUGGGGUAAAGGCCUACCAAGGCGACGAUCCAUAGCUGGUCUGAGAGGAUGAUCAGCCACAUUGGGACUGAGACACGGCCCAAACUCCUACGGGAGGCAGCAGUGGGGAAUAUUGGACAAUGGGCGCAAGCCUGAUCCAGCCAUGCCGCGUGAGUGAUGAAGGCCUUAGGGUUGUAAAGCUCUUUCACCGGAGAAGAUAAUGACGGUAUCCGGAGAAGAAGCCCCGGCUAACUUCGU
rnacentral:rRNA from 1 species